CAUCCCUCCACUCCUAGCUGCGGUCAGAGCUGGGGGGUCCUGCCUGGCCCGGCGUGGGGCCCAGUACCUGUUGCGUGGGCAGUGCCUCACUGGGUAGGAUCAUGGCAGCAGGAAUGGGAUGGGGCACAUGAAGCCGGCUGCCUCCCUCCCAGGGCUGUCCUGCCAUCCAACUUUAACCCUGCACAUGACUGCCAGCGGCAGAAGCUGCUCAUUCACGUGGACAGAUGGGGUCUGAGUAAGGGACUCAUGCCAUGACCUGGCAGCCAACCCUUCGUGACCUGGUACUGGGCUGCGGGUUGGAAACCUCUGGUCUAUGUCACUCAGCACCCCUUUUGGGGAUCCUGAAGAACCAGACUUUGGAAGGGAAUGAAUGGCAAGGAGAUUCCUGGUGGAUGAGGAAAGGCAACGAGGCCCAUAAUUCUCUCCAGUGCCUUGGCCCUUCAUUUAUGCACCUUGAAUAUCACUGGAGUGUAUCAGAGAAUCCUAACCCUGCUGCAGGGGAAAGCAAGCCAGGGAAGAAAAAUCAACAAGGUCCCUUUAAAACAAGACCUUUUGUAUCCUGAGUGGGACGACAAUUACCUGCAGCAGAAAGCAGUCUUGUCAGAGCAGCCAGGGUAGUGGAGUUCCUAGUGGCUAGCACAAACCCCCUGAACAAGAGGGGCCAGUCUGCCUGCAGCAGAUGAGAGCAGGGACCACCUAUUGAAGGACAGCUGGCCCUUGGUUAUGGACUCCUUCCCUGCAGAGACUAGGCUGCAAGCGGCUGGCUGCAGAAUAAGGAGCAGCUGGAUGGGAGAAUUUAACAGCACCUGGGCCAGGCGAGCAGAAAGCCAGGUCUGCUGAUCAGCAGGGAGGGGCUGACUGGUAUAUAUACUGUCCUCCAGGGGAAAGAUGUUGGCUGGCCCUGGUGGCAGAAAUGGACAAAACUCUCUGAGGAGCAGGGAGGGCGUAUAAGCCCAGCAAGAGGAGCUUCUGUUGAGAGAGAGGGAGAGAGAGGUAGGGGACUGGAGAGACCCAGUAAUAUAGUCUCAACAUAUCCAAGACUCAGAGCACUACAUAGAAUUAUAUCACGAAUGUUCCAGUUGAGUCAAUGCAAAAUAACUUGCUUUGGGUACUUGCAGGAAAAGUAAAGGAAAUAAAAGACUAGAUUUGUGAAACUACUAGAGAUGAAGCUUGGAGAUAACCUCAGGGUCAGCACAUAAGAGCUGGAAGCCCCCUCUCUCCCACUGCCAGGGAAAGCACCCUCGCCACCAAGGGAUAUGACGAUUCCACACUACUUAAAUAAUUAAUUGGAUCAGGAACUGGAAUCCAGAUCAUCUACCUCCAUGUAAAUAUCCUAAAUACCAGGCUAGAGGAUUGCUUUUGUAUUCUGUCUCAAUCUUCAAGUUUCUUUUCUCAGGUGGAAGACUUCCAAAGGUGGGCUUAUCUCUGUUUAUCCUGUGAAUAAUGUUAGCAAAUCUAACCGUGCUAACAUUGUGUGGCACCUGUGAAAGGAUCUCAAGGCAUUACAGGGUUCUGUGGCACCUGGCUGAGAAUCAUUAUCCUGGAGGUACGAGGCCUAAGGUCAAGCCCAUUUCCAGCUAAAUUAAGGUAAGGAUUUGAACCCAGGUCAGCAGAGCUGAGUUCUUUGAGGAAUCGGUACACCUGCAACUUUCUCUCUCCUGUUUGUUGCACAGCUGUAGUAAGCUAAGAUAGACAGGAAAAGGUACUUUUAACUAGUUCAAGCCAUGUAAAGGGUGACCUCAGGUUUGAACUUAAAGCCAUGUAGAGAGAACACCUGUUACCAUCUUUAAGGUCCUUCUUUGCCCAUCUUAGACUUCCCUCUAAAUCAAUACAGCAUUUUAGAUGAUGCUUUCUUUAAUAGCAAACAACACUGCUACAAUUCCUUUUCUAGUCUAGAAUCUAAGUGCUAAUGGCUUGUAUGAAGACAAAUCAGCCUUAAUGUUUAUAGAAAAGAAUACAUCAUAACUUCUGGAGGAAAAUAUUUUAAGGUGGUAGAGAGACCAUAUGGUCCACCAGCAAAAUAAGUCCCUGACUUGGCAAAUAUUCUUCCUGAGGAGCAACACUGCUCUACCUAAUAAGGAAAUGGACAUGGGUGAUAACUAACUGCAGAGAUCAGCCUCCUUAGAAGCCUUCUAAUAAUUGGCUUAUCAACUAGUUGUACUCAUCUCCAGUGCAUCCUCUAAUGAGAUAGAGACACAGGGCUGUGUGGAUCAACAUUGAUAUGCCCAUCUUAUCCUAAAACCUGAGCCCUGACCAAUAUGACUGCAGGAAGUCCACACUGGAAGAGCUAACAGGGCUAGACUUCCUGAACUUGUAAAGUAUAUAAGCAUUGCUGUUCUUGCAUGUUCCUUUGACUGUAAUUAACAAAGGCUUCUUAGCACACAGCCUUUUUAAGCAACAUUUCUCUUGCUGUUUUCUUGCAUUAUUUAGUUGUAUAAAGCAUUUUAUAAUGCAGCAUAACGAAAGAUAUGAUACAGAGUAACAUUUUACUGUAUAGCAUUGAUCUAUCAUAAACAUGGUCUAUUAUCAUUUACACUCAGUAAAAUAAAGGUAUUGCUAUUUAAAUACUCUAUUAAGAAAUAAACAUAAAAUUUACCUCGGCAUAACUUUGUCUAGCAUUUAGCAUUCAUUAAUGUAUAGCAACUGAACAGAAUUUCUUUUCACUACAAAGAAGAAAUCUUAGAUUGCUUAUUAAUUAACAAAUAAAUAUAGGACUUUUUCUAAAUGAAGAUAUUUAUCUUAAAAUACUUCAAGCAAUACUAAAUUUAAUAAUUAUAAUUAAGAAAGUCUAUCUAAUUUGUUUUGGAGAAUGGCAUACACUGUGAUCUGAGGGUGCUAUUUGGCCAGUAGAUGGGACUAGGGUACCUGCUUUGUUUUUAUGAAUGUCUUGGGUAUCUUGCCAACAUGAGCAGGGAGAAUAAGAUAUUUAAUAGUUAAUCAAUUUAAAUAAAUUAAACCCUAACUCUCCAUACACAAUUCAGAACUAAUACAAGGACUUCACAGUUAAUAUUUUUUUUUUAUUCUCUGCCUUGAGAUGGCUGGUCUCACAUAUUUGAAUUGGCUUUUCUGCUUCCACCUUGACUUUAUGCUUUGACCUGUGUAGCGUAUAAUGGUGAAAUACAAAGAAGUGCCAGAUGCUUGGGGCCAUUGUGUAGCUGAGAAAAUGCUGUAACCUACUGUGGCAUAGGAGGUGUCCAUGUCUAUACAGAACAUUAGAAAUGAGCUGUUGGAUUUGUGAUGGUAUAGUAGAGUGCGAUGAGACUGUAUCUUAAAGAUGGGUCUUAGCCUCUUGUCAGGAGAAUGUUAUUUGUACCACAAUACACUAAGCAUGACUCUAUUAUUAAAAAAAAAAAAAAAAAAAGUGUGAGAAUAUGGAUACAGGAACCAUAGUAAAUGUGGUAUGGGUAUGUAAAAAUUGUCUUGGAGUUAUACAGAGACAUUAUCAGCACCUCAGGAUGAGCUCUGUAGUAGGACCUAUAUGUGGAUAGCUACUGGUCCCUGUGGGAGCUGCAAGCUCUAAAGGUACCUGCAGGGAUCCUUCACAGAGGUGCCUGAAGAGUCUGUCACAAGCAUCAAAAAUGGCUUUACAGUAAUUGCGAACUCUACAAGGCUUCACGUGGAAAUAGUAAGAAACCUCAACAGUACCCUGUACUAGGCUUAGGGGCAAAAAUGUAUAUACAACAUAAAUGAUGCGUGCCCCUGGUGGCUGGGGGUGCACAGCGGCAGUAAGCGUGAAG